rnacentral:rRNA from 1 species
GUUUGAUCCUGGCUCAGGACGAACGCUGGCGGCGUGCUUAACACAUGCAAGUCGAACGGAAAGGCUCCAGCUUGCUGGAGUACUCGAGUGGCGAACGGGUGAGUAACACGUGGGUAAUCUGCCCUGCACUCUGGGAUAAGCCUGGGAAACUGGGUCUAAUACUGGAUAUGACCUUUCUCCUUAUGGGGUUUGGUGGAAAGUUUUUCGGUGUAGGAUGAGCCCGCGGCCUAUCAGCUUGUUGGUGGGGUGAUGGCCUACCAAGGCGACGACGGGUAGCCGGCCUGAGAGGGUGAUCGGCCACAUUGGGACUGAGAUACGGCCCAGACUCCUACGGGAGGCAGCAGUGGGGAAUAUUGCACAAUGGGCGCAAGCCUGAUGCAGCGACGCCGCGUGGGGGAUGACGGCCUUCGGGUUGUAAACUCCUUUCGCUAGGGACGAAGCUUUUUGUGACGGUACCUAGAUAAGAAGCACCGGCUAACUACGUGCCAGCAGCCGCGGUAAUACGUAGGGUGCGAGCGUUGUCCGGAAUUACUGGGCGUAAAGGGCUCGUAGGUGGUUUGUCGCGUCGUCUGUGAAAUUCCGGGGCUUAACUCCGGGCGUGCAGGCGAUACGGGCAUAACUUGAGUACUGUAGGGGUAACUGGAAUUCCUGGUGUAGCGGUGAAAUGCGCAGAUAUCAGGAGGAACACCGAUGGCGAAGGCAGGUUACUGGGCAGUUACUGACGCUGAGGAGCGAAAGCAUGGGUAGCGAACAGGAUUAGAUACCCUGGUAGUCCAUGCCGUAAACGGUGGGCGCUAGGUGUGAGGGUCUUUUCACGACUUUCGUGCCGUAGCUAACGCAUUAAGCGCCCCGCCGGGGGAGUACGGCCGCA